ACUCAAAUGAAUUGACGGGGAUCUACACAAGCGGUGGAGCAUGUGGUUUAAUUCGACGCCACGCGCAAAACCUUACCAGCUCUUGCAUAUUAGAUGUUUGGAUAAUAAUAAAUCCAAGACGCAAAAAUCUAUUACAGGUGUUGCAUGGCUGUCUUCAGCUCGUGUCGUGAGAUGUUGGGUUCAGUUCCUGAACGAGCGAGACCCUCGACUUCUGUUGCUCUGUACAAAUACUUUUUUCAGAGAAUCAGGGGUUCAGACCCGCCGCAAGCGGGAGGAAGAUGGGGAUGAUGACAAGCCCUCAUGACCCUUAUGGGCUGGGCUACACACGUGCUACAAUGGUAAUUACAAAGGGGAGCAAUAUAGUGAUUUGGAGCAAAUCCCGAAAAAUUAUCUCAGUUCCGAUUAAACUCUGCAAUUCGAGUUUAUGAAGUUGGAAUCGCUAGUAAUCGUGGAUCAGCACGCCACGGUGAAUAUGUUCCUGGAUCUUGUACACACCGCCCGU
rnacentral:rRNA from 1 species